CGUCCGCCCGGCGCCCCCGGGGCUGCGCGGAGCGGGGCCGGCCCCGCCGCCCGUGCCUGGCUGGAAGUGAAACGCGCCCCGGCUGCUCCUUUUUCUUUCUUCUUCUUUUUUUUUUUUUUUUUUUUUUUUUUUUCCUUUUUGAGCCUCCAAAAGGCUCACUCGCCCCUUUCAUCUGCCGCCGCGGCCCAAUGGGAAGGCGGAGGCUGCCUGCAAGUGGUCUAAUCUCAAUGAGGUGUCAAUCAUGUUCCCCGGUGGGUGAAGUAAGGUCUUUUGUAACCGCCUCUGUCUUUGGGAAAGAGAGGAGAGAGGAGGAAGGCUGGAGCGGAGAGGGGGACGAAGGACCGUGCUGCAGGAGAGGAGCUGAGAUUUGAGCUCGCUUGUGUGUUAGCAGGGAGAAGCGGAGCACAUGGAUUUCUAAACACGCUGGGAUUUUAUACAUCUACAAAAAAUAACAACAAGCGAACCUGACCCUACUGAAAACAGUCAAAUGAAUCGUAAUUGCAGAUCAAUGCAGAGAGAUGGGGAAACUUCAUUCGAAACAUGCUGCCGUUUGUAAACCCAGAGAAAGUCCAGAAGGUAGGGAUGGCUCCUCACUGUUAGUAACUUUGAACGCCUUCCUCGGUCCGGCUGGCUGCCCCUGGCCCCCUGCCCUCUCCCCUCAACUUUCCGCCGCGCUUUGCUCUCUGCGCGGCCGCCCCGCUCCCAGCUCGGUGCCAGUCCGGGCUCCAGCCCCAGCCCCGGUGCUGGUCCCGGUCCCGGCUCCAGCCCCAGCCCCGGUGCCGGUCCCGGCUCCAGCCCCAGCCCCGGUGCUGGUCCCAACCACGCUCCCGGCUCCAGCCCCGGUGCCGGUCCCGGCUCCAGCCCCGGUGCCGGUCCCGGUCCCGGCUCCAGCCCCGGUGCCGGUCCCGGUCCCGGCUCCAGCCCCGGUGCCAGUCCGGGCUCCAGCCCCAGCCCCGGUGCCGGUCCCGGCUCCAGCCCCGGUGCCGGUCCCGGCUCCAGCCCCAGCCCCGGCCGGCGCGGGGAUGGCCGCGGGGGUCGGGCAGGCUCUGCGGGCGGCUCAGCGGAGGCAUUGUCUCCUCUUUUCUAGGUGAUAGUUUCGCGGUGAACGCCUCUCUGGCUCGCAGAGGGCUGGAGGACUGGAUGGUGAAGCAGAAAUACUCCGGGGGCAGCAGCAGCGGCGGCAGCAGCUCGGGACUCCAGCACGGCUGCCAGCACCGCGCCGUGUGCAGGCUCUCCAGCGCCAGGGUAUGUCAGCUUCCUCGCUGCCCCCCCGCCCCUUCCCUUUGAAAUAGUGAAAAGCAAAAGCUCUUUCUACAUCCCUCUUUCCCUCCCAAGGGGCGGUUGUGCAAAGGAAGGUUUUCUUUGCCCUAAUGCUGCUCCGAGGCGCUGCCCCGUGGGUGGUUUCCUUCAGUCCUUUGAUGAAGUUAGAAGCUGCAGAGCAAACUUGGUGAGGGUACAAAAGCCAAAGGAGUAAGGGAACCUGCCUGCUGGUGUCUGGGCAGUACGAUUAGAACAAAACCUUUCACAAACAGGAACAAACGAUCUCUGGGGAAAGCCCAGCACCCAGCUAGUGCGCGAUAGAUUGUGAGCCCUGAUUAGUGCACAAGUUUGCCUGUGACAUUUUGGCAGUCAAGAAGUCCCCGAAGAGUUAUUGUUAUUU
rnacentral:lncRNA from 1 species